AAAGGAAAAAAACUGAAUUAACGGAUAAACCACUAGCUUCCCUCGUUAUCCCCUUGGCCUCUCUUUCUCGGAAUCCAAAAGAAUGGCCACCAUCACCACUACGGCGACUCUUUCCUUCCACUCCCAAAACCCCAUUAAAACUCUACCAUCAUUCUCUCUCUCAAAUAUCCCCUUUUCCAUUUCCAAAACCAAUUUUACUUCCGUCGCCAAUUUUUCUCUUUCAAUUCCUGCCUCUAAAUCAAACAAUGCGAGCAGCCCUCUCAACAGAUACAGUCGCUUCUCUUGCAACUGCAUCUCCACAGCCACCCCCAACACAAAUUACGAGUUUUCUGAUAGUUCUUCAGAAGUGGAAUUGAGAUUAUCUCUUGUGGGACUAGACAUUCAAAGUUCCAGAGAUAUAUUCGUGGAUGCAGAUGGCACCUCCUUAGUAGUCCAAGUACAGCACUCUGGGUCGCAUAUCACACUUAUAGAAACUAAUAAGAUGUUCGAGAAAAUAAAGCCUGCUGAAACAAUAUGGUUCAUAGAUGAUGAUCAACUUGUUAUCAACAUGAAGAAGCAAGACCCAGAUUUGAAAUGGCCUGACAUUGUGGAGUCAUGGGAAUCCUUGACAGCAGGAUCUAUGCAACUCCUGAAAGGGGCAUCAAUCUUCCUUGUUGGUGAUUCAACUGAAAUUAACCAAAAAGUGGCUCGAGAACUUGCUGUUGGUCUUGGGUACACGCUACUUGAUACACAGGAGUUGCUAGAAACAUUUGCUAAGCAAACAAUUGAUUCAUGGGUGCUUGCUGAAGGCUCUGACUCUGUAGCUGAAGCAGAAUGUGCUAUAUUAGAAAGCUUAAGUAGUCAUGUACGUGCUGUUGUUUCAACAUUAGGAGGGAAGCAGGGAGCUGCUGGAAAGGCUUAUAAAUGGCAGCAUCUUUAUGCAGGGUUCACUGUCUGGUUGUCACAGACCGAAGCCUUAGUAACUUGCAAAGUCUGCUCACAUUCAACACAGAUGAGGAUUCAGCUAAAGAGGAGGCUAGAAAGAAUGUUAAAGAUCGCAGUGUAGCAUACUCAAAUGCUGAUGUGGUUGUCAAGCUCCAGGGUUGGGAUUCUGAUCAUGCCAAAAGUGUUGCUCAGGCAUCCUUGAGUGCUCUCAAGCAGUUGAUUCUGUCUGACAAGAAACUUCCAGGUAAGAAGAGCCUUUAUAUAAGGCUAGGAUGUCGUGGGGAUUGGCCAAACAUCAAGCCUCCUGGUUGGGAUCCAUCAAAUGAAGCUGAAUCGAUCUCCUAGUAUGUGGCAGAUCCGAUGUUGUAGAGUGAGAGGAUUGUUGAAUGCCAAUCUUUUUGGCACCAUUUCAUGGCUGGUAAUUACCAAGUUCUCUUCACACAAUUUUUUUAAGGAAUUUUUUCAGUAGCCGUUGUUGCAGCAAGCAACUUCCUGUUCAUUGUGUCAUCACAAGUAGAGAAAUUGGUGAACAGAGUGCAAGGAAGUAAAACUAGUAAAGUAUUUUAAAUUUUAUCCCUUUACAAAACCUAGCUGGGACCUUGACACGCGUA